UACGAAGGGGGCUAGCGUUGUUCGGAAUUACUGGGCGUAAAGCGCACGCAGGCGGAUUGCUAAGUCGGGGGUGAAAUCCCGGGGCUCAACCUCGGAAUUGCCUUCGAUACUGUUAGUCUUGAGUCCGGGAGAGGUGAGUGGAAUUCCUAGUGUAGAGGUGAAAUUCGUAGAUAUUAGGAAGAACACCAGUGGCGAAGGCGGCUCACUGGCCCGGUACUGACGCUCAUGUGCGAAAGCGUGGGGAGCAAACAGG
rnacentral:rRNA from 1 species